AAUGCAAAUAUGUAAAUUUAAUAACAUGUAUUUACUUUGUAGUAUUUAUAAUAUUACAUUUAAUAUUUUCCCAUACAAUAUAGAUGGAUUUUUGUACAUUGCUUUUAUAUUUUAGGAAGAGUGUCCAUCGCAAACAGAUCGUCAUGUUCGGGAGUCCUUGGCAUGAAAAAGUUUCAAAAUCAAAUCUCCACUAGAUGGUGCUGCUGGUUCCAAUGACUAGAUCAAUAAUGAAACAUAGGUUUUACUUCUUCUUGACACAGUUUAGCAUUCACUGGUUUCCUUUUUCACUAAUAGAGAAAAGAGAUGACACUAUAAUGCAAUAUUGUAUGCGAUAUUUCUCCACAGACGGGCUCUGUAUUGGGGACUGUGGGAGGGGCUCAAUCGGCAUGUUGGAGAUCAGCCCAGUACGCUUCAGUUCACUUGAGAUUGAUUAUUCUCCAGAGACGGCGAGGCAGCAGGCCAGACCACAGAUAUAUAGCAGCGAACAUCACAGUGAACAGUGAGAACAGAGAAACAUCACACCAAACGGCACAGAGAAGACUAAGAAAGGUUGUAAUUACUUCACUUUCCUUUGUACGUUUUUGGAAGAAAGAGAGAAAAAUAAACUUUGCACCAUCUCAGACGAAUGCAGACAGCCUAAGAAUAGCAGGCUGUCUGAGAAUAACCUUCACAUCACGCACGCACACAAUAUCUGCCUCUGUUUCUGCGGUUACAGGGAUUAGCAGUGACUCACCAUGUAAGUCCUUACUGUUUCCCUCCCUCUCGGAGAGCGCAAUACGGACAUCAGUCAUUCCACACCGUGUGUUUACCCUGCUGCAGGUCCUGCGGGAUCAUGGGAGCGUGUGUGGACUAGCAGUGCUUCAUUUUAUUGGAUGGGUCUUAACUGAAGAGCUGUGAUGAGCCAUUGCAGUGGAGAUGUCUUUUGCUCUAGAAAUGUCUGAAUUUGACACUGAGUCUGAAAGUAAAUGAAAAUCCCACUGACACUGAGAAAUUAUUUUGAGUCUACUCUAUGGAUGAUCAACAGUUAAGAUUGUAAAUGAACUGCUAAGUUAAAAUAUAAACCAUGUCUAAUUUGUAACUUUUGUGGUAAUGGGCAUUCAAAUUUUUGUCAAAAAAUUUACUUUUAAGACCUCUAAAACUGUUUUUGGGACUCCAGUUCAU